rnacentral:rRNA from 1 species
UACAUGGGGUGCAAACGUUGCUCGGAAUUAUUGGGCGUAAAGCGCACGUAGGCGGUCUGUUACGUCGGCUGUGAAAAACCUGGGGCUCAACUCCGGGCCUGCAGCCGAUACGGGCAGACUAGAGUUCGGCAGGGGAGACUGGAAUUCCUGGUGUAGCGGUGAAAUGCGUAGAGAUGUGGAGGAACACCGAUGGCGAAGGCAGCCCCCCUGGGCUGAGAUUGACGCUCAGGCACGAAAGCGUGGGGAGCAAACAGG